GGGUACACCCCAACCUAGAGCAUCAUCUCUCUCUCUAAGUUUUUUAAGGGGCAUGCCCCAACAUAGCUGAUCUCUCUUGGGUUUGAAAAGGAGCAUGACCCUUUCUUGGAUCGAUUGUUUGCAGGUAGCAAAGGGGAGAAUCCCCUAGCUAGUAGAUCUCUCCCUCUCUCUCUCUCUCUUUGAUUUUUAUCUUUUAUUUCUCUAAAGAUCAAUCCAAGGGGCUUGAGCAAUGCUAAGACAUUGAGGCCUUUGGUAGUUAAUUCUAGAUCGAGAUCCAUAUGCUAUUAAGAAGGUGUUGCCACAAGUAAGAGAAGCAAGAGACUGAUCAUUGAUCCCGAGCACCAUUGGAAGGAGGUGACUCAGCAUGGGGUGUACUAAGCCCAAUUGAGGUAAUCGUCGACAAUUUUACUUCUUCAAAUUUUAUUUUUUGUUGGGCUCUUUUAUUCCCAUAAAGCAAUGAGUCAAUGUUUUGAUUUAAGAAAUUGUAUUCAAUAGUGGUAGCAAGUGAGAACUGUAUCUUUCUUUUUUUAUUUAUUCAUUGAUUUCAAGAGUUAUUUGUUUGUAAAUGGACAUUGUGAGUGGUCUUGCCGAUGUAAGAAUAAGAAAAAUUUUAUUUUCUAUACACC
rnacentral:lncRNA from 1 species